UACAGAGGUCUCAAGCGUUGUUCGGAUUCAUUGGGCGUAAAGGGUGCGUAGGUGGCAUGGUAAGUUGAAGGUGAAAUCUCGGGGCUCAACUCCGAAACUGCCUUCAAUACUGCUGUGCUCGAGGACUGUAGAGGAGAAUGGAAUUCACGGUGUAGCAGUGAAAUGCGUAGAUAUCGUGAGGAAGACCAGUGGCGAAGGCGGGUCUCUGGGCCGUAACUGACGCUGAGGAGCGAAAGCGUGGGGAGCGAACAGG
rnacentral:rRNA from 1 species